rnacentral:rRNA from 1 species
AAAUUGAAGAGUUUGAUCAUGGCUCAGAUUGAACGCUGGCGGCAGGCCUAACACAUGCAAGUAGAACGGUAACAGGAAGAAGCUUGCUUCUU